rnacentral:rRNA from 1 species
GUGAGGAAUAUUGCGCAAUGGAGGCAACUCUGACGCAGCCAUGCCGCGUGCAGGAAGAAGGCGCUACGCGUUGUAAACUGCUUUUAACCGGGAAGAAACCCCAGGACGUGUCCUGGGUUGACGGUACCAGAGGAAUAAGCACCGGCUAACUCCGUGCCAGCAGCCGCGGUAAUACGGAGGGUGCAAGCGUUAUCCGGAUUCACUGGGUUUAAAGGGUGCGUAGGCGGGUUGAUAAGUCAGUGGUGAAAUCCUGCAGCUUAACUGUAGACUUGCCAUUGAUACUGGCGCUCUUGAGUGCGCUUGAAGUGGGCGGAAUGUGCCGUGUAGCGGUGAAAUGCUUAGAUAUGGCACAGAACACCAAUUGCGAAGGCAGCUCACUAAGGCGAUACUGACGCUGAGGCACGAAAGCGUGGGGAUCGAACAGGAUUAGAUACCCUUGUAGUCC